rnacentral:lncRNA from 10 species
AAGAAGAAUGAGCAUGCAUCUAUUUUCUGUCAUCUGAUUUAGCUAACAACUUCUUCACACUGUCACUGUGCUCCCAAGUGAAGGGGGCCAGAGUUGCCUCCAUUUGGUGUCCGCAGUGAGCAACAGGUUAACGUUUCAAGGGAAGCUUGAAAACAUUCUCGUUUUCAGAGAAUGUUGAUCUCUUUCAAAAGUCAUAGCACUCUCCCACUGUCGACACACACAUUUCUGGGGCUACUGUGUCAAAUGCCAUUCUAGGUGCUGGGCACGUAGUGGUAAAACAAGAACAGGCUGAUCCUCCCUAUCAAAACUUGUAAUCUUGAGGGAAUAUAGACAAUGAAGUAAUUGCACAAAGAGCUAUGCCAUUACAAACUGGAAGACGGUGUGAAGGGAAAGUGCAGGAGGCUAGCACAGAACCUGCUCUCAGUCGCUGAAGGCCAUCGUGGACACCAUUGUAUGAAUUUCUUCAGGAAACUCUAGAAAAAGGUGACCUUGGAC